AUGACGGGGUCGGGAGAGGUCGUCGCGCGGUCGGUUGCGCGGACGAGGCCGAAGGGGAGGCAGAAACUCUCAGGCAAAAGGACCGAUCCUCGACG
rnacentral:ncRNA from 2 species